UACGUAGGGGCAGCGUGUCGGAUUAUUGGGCGUAAAGAGCGUGUAGGCGGCCAAGCAGGUCAGCCUGUGAAAACUCGAGGCUCAACCUCGAGACGUCGGUUGAAACCGCUUGGCUAGAGUCCGGAAGAGGAGAGUGGAAUUCCCGGUGUAGCGGUGAAAUGCGCAGAUAUCGGGAAGAACACCCGUGGCGAAGGCGGCUCUCUGGGACGGUACUGGACGCUGAGACGGCGAAAACGUGGGAGC
rnacentral:rRNA from 1 species